rnacentral:rRNA from 1 species
GCGCACCAGGAAUGUCUUGUAGGCGCCCGCCCCCACCGCGCGCCGGAUGCGUCCCUGCCCCUUGUACACACCGCCCGUCGCUCCUACCGACUGGGCGCGGCGGCGAGCGCCCCGGACGCGCGAAGGGCCGCGAGCCCCCGCGCCUGGAGGAAGGAGAAGUCGUAACAAGGUAUCCGUAGGUGA